UGAUGGUCCUUAUUUUCGUCAAGUGCGUUCACUUUGGUCCCCAUGUUUUUUUUCUGUUCAAUGUUGUCCUAAAGAGUGUAAAUUUUGUUCAAUUUGGUCCUUUUUGCUAACGCCGUUUAAAUCGUUAACGGCCAACUGUCCAGUUGUACAAUCAAUGACACAUCACCCUUGACACGUCAUCAUCAUCUCCUACCUCCAGAAACCCUAAUUUCCCCUUACACAAAAACCCUAGCCACCACCU
rnacentral:lncRNA from 1 species